rnacentral:misc_RNA from 1 species
UUUCCGUAGGUGAACCUGCGGAAGGAUCAUUACUGAGUGAGGGCCCCUCGGGGUCCAACCUCCCACCCGUGUUUAACGAACCUUGUUGCUUCGGCGGGCCCGCCUCACGGCCGCCGGGGGGCAUCUGCCCCCGGGCCCGCGCCCGCCGAAGCCACCUGUGAACGCUGUCUGAAGUAUGCAGUCUGAGACAAUUAUUAAAUUAAUUAAAACUUUCAACAACGGAUCUCUUGGUUCCGGCAUCAUGAAGAACGCAGC